rnacentral:rRNA from 1 species
GUGCCUACGGGAGGCAGCAGUCGGGAAUAUUGCGCAAUGGAGGAAACUCUGACGCAGUGACGCCGCGUGCAGGAAGAAGGUUUUCGGAUUGUAAACUGCUUUAGACAGGGAAGAAACAAGACAGUACCUGUAGAAUAAGCCCCGGCUAACUACGUGCCAGCAGCCGCGGUAAUACGUAGGUGACAAGCGUUGUCCGGAUUUACUGGGUGUAAAGGGCGCGUAGGCGGGAUAGCAAGUCAGUCGUGAAAUGCCGAGGCUUAACCUCGGAGCUGCGAUUGAAACUGUUAUUCUUGAGUAUCGGAGAG